rnacentral:rRNA from 1 species
UACGUAGGGUGCGAGCGUUGUCCGGAAUUAUUGGGCGUAAAGGGCUCGUACGCGGUUUGUCGCGUCGGGAGUGAAAACCCAGGGCUUAACUCUGGGCUUGCUUUCGAUACGGGCAGACUAGAGGUAUGCAGGGGAGAACGGAAUUCCUGGUGUAGCGGUGAAAUGCGCAGAUAUCAGGAGGAACACCGGUGGCGAAGGCGGUUCUCUGGGCAUUACCUGACGCUGAGGAGCGAAAGUGUGGGGAGCGAACAGG